GCCCUUGGUCUUCAUGAGCAAGAGCUCAAAAAAUUGAACGUUUCUUAUCACAACCCUUCUUCGUAGCAGAAGUAUUUACCGGUUCUCCAUGGAAAUAUGUUGGUCUAGCAGAAACAAUUAUAGGUUUUCAACUGAUCCUUUUUGGCGAAUUAGAUGGUCUUCCUGAGCAGGCCUUUUAUUUGGUUGGUAACAUCGAUGAAGCUACCGCGAAGGCUAUAAACUUAGAAGUGGAGAGCAAUUUGAAGAAAUGACCUUAAAUCUUUGUGUACUGACUCCUAAUCGAAUUGUGUGGGAUUCAGAAGUGAAAGAAAUUAUUUUAUCUACUAAUAGUGACCAAAUUGGCGUAUUACCCAAUCAUGCCCCCAUUGCCACAGCAGUAGAUAUAGGUGUUUUCCGAAUACGCCUUAAGGAUCAAUGGUUAAUGAUGGCUCUGAUGGGUGGUUUUGCUAGAAUAGGCAAUAAUGAGAUCACCAUUUUAGUAAAUGAUGCAAAAAGAGGUCGUGAGAUUGAUCCGCAAAAAGCUCAGCGAACUCUUGAAAUGGUUGAAGCUAACUUGAGUAGAGCUGAAGGAAAGAGACAAGCAAUUGAGACGAAUUUAGCUCUCAGACGGGCUAGGACGUGAGUAGAGGCUAUCAAUAUAAUUUCGUAACUACUUGGUGCGUUCGAAUAAUUAAAAGAAGUUCUGUUUAUAUACCUAUAUUUUGUCGAUUAAAUAAAAUCAAGUGAUUCUAGCGCAACAACAAAAAAAAAAAAAGAAUUA